GCAUCUGUUAGGAAGCCCCUGCACUCAGCUCCUCUCUGCCUCACCACAAGGUCUUUCUGAGGGGUAGCAGGACAGUUCUCUGUAGCGUUGGCUAGAUUCACCACAGGGAGUGUGUGUAGUGUGGCAAGUCAUUUAGAGAGUGUGGAAGGUCACAGAGGAGAAAGGUUGUUAUUUGGGAUCUGAAGGCUGUUGAUAUAAGCAAUACCUGUCUGUGGCAUACACCUGUUCUCUGAUCAAAUGAUAAGGUGUUUCUCCUUCACAGGGAACCGACGACUGAAUCUCUUGUCCUACAAAGGCUUCCUGCAGUUUAAUGGGAGCUGUGGAAGUCUCCGUAGCAGUGGGGGCGCAGGUCUGGCACACUAAGACAACUGUGGA
rnacentral:lncRNA from 1 species